rnacentral:lncRNA from 1 species
UCCAUUUAUCAUUUGCUAUGUGAUUGACUUAGGCCAUGACUCAUUUAGGUAACUUUUGACCAUAUGCAUAAUAUUGAAUAAGUAGAUAGCCAAGCUCAUUUAGAAAGUGGUGUGAAUCUUGGAGCUUUGGUUCACAUGGAAAGCAUCAUAUAUUUUCAUAAGGGGGAGAUCAAUCCCUCUUCCCCAAAUCCUUACCUCUUCGAUUGGCCUUCA